rnacentral:rRNA from 1 species
UACGUAGGGUGCGAGCGUUAAUCGGAAUUACUGGGCGUAAAGCGUGCGCAGGCGGUUCGUUGUGUCGGUGGUGAAAUCCCCGGGCUUAACCUGGGAAUGGCCAUGGAAACUGGCGAACUGGAGUGCGGCAGAGGGGGGUGGAAUUCCGCGUGUAGCAGUGAAAUGCGUAGAUAUCUGGAAGAACACCAGUGGCGAAGGCGGUCAACUGGCCCUUAACUGACGCUCAUGCACGAAAGCGUGGGUAGCGAACAGG